UACGAAGGGGGCUAGCGUUGCUCGGAAUCACUGGGCGUAAAGGGUGCGUAGGUGGGUUGGUAAGUCAGUGGUGAAAUCCCCGAGCUUAACUUGGGAACUGCCAUUGAUACUAUUAAUCUUGAAUACCGUGGAGGUUAGCGGAAUAUGUCAUGUAGCGGUGAAAUGCUUAGAUAUGACAUAGAACACCAAUUGCGAAGGCAGCUGGCUACACGAAUAUUGACACUGAUGCACGAAAGCGUGGGGAUCAAACAGG
rnacentral:rRNA from 1 species